rnacentral:rRNA from 1 species
AUUGAACGCUGGCGGCAGGCCUAACACAUGCAAGUCGAACGAGUGGCGGACGGGUGAGUAAUGUCUGGGAAACUGGCUGAUUGCUGGGGAUAAAUACUGGAAAAGGUAGCUAAUACCGCAUACCAUCGGAUGUGCCCAGGUGGGAUUAGCUAGUAGGUGUGGUAAAGGCUCACCUAGUCGCCGAUCCCUAGCUGGUCUGCGAGGCUGAGCAGUCAUACUGGAACUGGUACACGGUACAGACGCCUACGGGAGGCAGCAGUGGGGAAGAUUGCACAAUGGGCGCAAGCAUGAUGCAGCCAUGCCGCGUGUAUGAAGAAGGCCUUAGGGUUGUAAAGUACUUUCAGCGGGGAGGCGUUACUCGCAGAAGAAGCACCGGCUAACUCCGUGCCAGCAGCCGCGGUAAUUC